rnacentral:misc_RNA from 1 species
GAUGAAGAACGUAGUGAAAUGCGAUAAGUAAUGUGAAUUGCAGAAUUCAGUGAAUCAUCGAAUCUUUGAACGCACAUUGCGCCCGCUAGUAUUCUGGCGGGCAUGCCUGUCCGAGCGUCAUUUCAACCCUCAAGCCCCCGGGCUUGGUGUUGGGGAUCGGCGAGCCUCCGCGCCCGCCGUCCCCUAAAUCUAGUGGCGGUCUCGCUGUAGCUUCCUCUGCGUAGUAGCACACCUCACACUGGGAAACAGCGCGGCCACGCCGUUAAACCCCCAACUUCUGAACGUUUGACCUCGGAUCAGGUAGGAAUACCCGCUGAACUUAAGCAUAUCAAUAAGCGGAGGA